GAUUUGAGAAGAGGUUGCAGAUGAUCAAGGAGCGACACGUGCAGGGAUGGCUUGAAAAGGAUGAAUCAACCCACUUGUGUAACUCUCCAGAGAACUAAAACCAGCUUGAUUACAUGCUAGAAGAGGCUUGACCGUGUUGGUGCAGUAUUACCAAGAGACUGAGCAGGGUCACCUUUUUCAUCUGCAAAGGCUCAGGGCAUAGGCACGGAAACUUGAACGAAGCAUGAGGGUGAGUGGACAGCAGUGGGGGCCCCGAGUUGGUCGGUGGACUGUGUUAUUCUGCUUCACCUGUUGGGCCGGCUUUGCAAGUGCCUUGGGACAGCAGAGUACGUCUCCUGCCAUGUUUCUGACAUGUGCCAGACGUCAGCGGUUCCAGUUCCUGAAAUGCUGGAGAUGCUCGGAGCACAAGAGGAGCUGGGAGCAUGAUGCAUCUCCUGGGGAUGUUAGGUGAGUGAAGCGGUGGUACUGGGUUCGGCCACGUGGCUCUGGGGCUUCUUGGCUGUUGCAGUAGGGGACGAAAGGAGUGGGUAUAGACUGUUUUGUGGAUUGUCACGUUUCUGUUCUUCUUGGACUAAGUCCUGUUACCUUGGCUCAACACAGUGAAUGGAAGCGCUAGGCCUGGAUCGGGAAGGUGAGUGGAGAAAAUUUG